CUAGAAUGCUCUAGGGUAAGGGAGAGUCAGAGCAGAAACUCAAGCCUCUCUGACCUCAAAGUCCAUGCUCUUGGUGGAGUAGCUCCCAUUGGACCAGCCCUCUCACAGGUAAUUAUAAAUGAAGGAUAAAAAAUAAAUAUACAUAUAAAAACUAUGUGAAGAUGAUGGAGAGUGACCUAAGCAGCCAAAUCUGGAGAGGAGUUGACACUUGGAAGAAUGGAAAGGCAUUGAGUCUGUGGAUUCAUAAAAUUUGUGCUGCAGCUUCAUCUUUCAAGGCAAAAGACACAAGUAAUCGGGGAGCCGUGCUUCUGAGAGUUUCCAUGAACCAGGGAGGAAGAUGCCAAUUUAUAUUGUUAAGGUCAAUUCCUCCUAGCUUGUCAUCAUUUUCUUGGCCACACUAUAAAUGUCCUCCGUUUAUCAAUGCC
rnacentral:lncRNA from 1 species